GACGAACGCUGGCGGCGUGCUUAACACAUGCAAGUCGAACGGAAAGGCCCUGCUUUUGUGGGGUGCUCGAGUGGCGAACGGGUGAGUAACACGUGAGUAACCUGCCCUUUACUUUGGGAUAACUUCAGGAAACUGGGGCUAAUACCGGAUAGGAGCUCCUGCUGCAUGGUGGGGGUGGGAAAGUUUCGGCGGUGGGGGAUGGACUCGCGGCUUAUCAGCUUGUUGGUGGGGUAGUGGCCUACCAAGGCUUUGACGGGUAGCCGGCCUGAGAGGGUGACCGGCCACAUUGGGACUGAGAUACGGCCCAGACUCCUACGGGAGGCAGCAGUGGGGAAUAUUGCACAAUGGGCGGAAGCCUGAUGCAGCAACGCCGCGUGCGGGAUGACGGCCUUCGGGUUGUAAACCGCUUUCGCCUGUGACGAAGCGUGAGUGACGGUAAUGGGUAAAGAAGCACCGGCUAACUACGUG
rnacentral:rRNA from 1 species